UCCCUGAUCCGGGCCCCUCUGGCGGGAGCCGUCGGCUCUCUCGCCAUGUCGGAUCGCUCUU
rfam:Aureimonas sp. Leaf454 contig_4, whole genome shotgun sequence.